AAUGCCUGAGGAAUGUCAUAUAUAUCCCAUGGAGGGUGGGAGGAGGGGUUGCGGGCUAUCCGCUUCUGCUUUGUCCUCAGCUUGCCUUCUGUUCCUCAUCAGUACUGGGAUGGUAGGUCAUCCCAAAUGGACUUGCUGGGCACCUAAGUGUGGGGGAGGGGGAGAGUGCUAUAACCCCUUUUCUUCACCCAGUGAAACCUUUGGUUUUGAAAGAAUAUAGAAGGAAGAAUUGCAAUGAUGAGCAUGGGGAGAGAGGUGAGAAUAGAGAAGCCCCUAAUGGAUUCAAGAACAGGACAGGGACAGGAUGUGACCAGGAAAAUGUAAGCAACCUUGGAAUCUACAGAAAUCCUGGGAAGGGAGCUGCCUUGCCAUCUACUGUGACAAGGGAAAAGAAGCCAGUUUAUUUGGCUGUUGAAAGAUUAGGAACAGCCUAAGUGCUCAUCAAGAAGAAGAUCCUUGCAUAAACUAUGGUACAUCCAUACAACAGAAUCAUAAUGGGAUGGAUACAAAGGACAAAGUACUCACUCUGUACCCUGAAGUGGAAACAGAGCCAAGACAAAAUGUUAAAUGAGAAAAGCAAGUUGUACAGUUGUACGAAGUUGUACAAAGAAUAUGAUCCCAGCUCUAAGAAGAAACAAGGAUCCCUGAGUGAUGUGCAAAGGAUUGCUGGUCUGACCGCAGGUACUGCCCAGUUGGUCCUGAGCACCAGCUGCCUUUCUCCAGGUGAUGAGCUCUGAGGAACAGGGGAAAGAGGUAAAGGCAAAGAAUAUAUGAAAGCUGAACGUAUCCAUUGUGAUCAGGGAUACAAUUUUCUUGGAAGGCUCUUGUAGUAUACAAGGAUGCUGCUUAUAUUUCACUGGUCACACUGGACUACAUGACCACCCCUAACUGCAAUGAAGUCUGGGAGGUG